UACGAGAGCCCCGAGCGUUAUCCGGAAUUAUUGGGCGUAAAGUGUACGUAGGCGGUUAUGUUAGUCAUUUUUCAAAUCUAUCGGCUCAACCGGUAAACUGGAAAUGAAACGGCAUUGACUAGAGGCUGUAAGAGGUAUAGGGAACUCAUGGUGUAGGGGUGAAAUCCGUUGAUAUCAUGGGGAACACCAAAAGCGAAGGCACUAUACUGGUACAGAUCUGACGCUGAGGUACGAAAGCGUGGGUAGCGAAUGGG
rnacentral:rRNA from 1 species